ensembl:snoRNA SNORA70 Small nucleolar RNA SNORA70
UAGCAGCCAAUUAAGCCGACUGUGUUCUUUUCCCGAUGGGGGCCCCGUGCACAAUGGCUGUAAAGAGUAGCCUCCUUGGUAGUGUACCAGCCUGUUGCCUGUAUGGGUUGCCCUGAGGGACCUUGGAGACAGCU